GUAAUUUGUAGAUGAAUGAAUGGGAAUGCAUAAGCUCCCUAUGAUGGAUGGAAUGAAAUUGAAGGUGGUGGUGAUAGCCAGAGCUCAGUGGUGUGGUGGGGGGGGGACCCAUAAUCCUCAUCUCAUACUAUCUGCUCAGCUUCAACUGUCCUCGUCUCUUUUGUCUUUUUCUUCAACCCUUUCUUUUUUUCUUUUUCAAAACAAUAUUUACUUGUAUUUUAAUUUUAAUAAAAAAAAAUUAAAGUAGAAGAGAGAAGUUUCACUCUCAUGAGUCAUGACCCCGGCGUUAUUAUAACCACCCCCCUCACAAUCCGCUUGCUUACUCAUUCUCAUUCUCUCAUCCUUUUCUUUCUUCUCUCCUUUGUUUUUUUUCUCUCUCCUUCCCCCUUCAACUAAGCCGUUUUUCUUGGGGGUGCUCUUCAGAUCACUCAUCACGCACCCUAUAAAUCCAAAUUCAUAAAACCAAAUUCAUUCAACCAAUUGGCCCUGGGUUGGAAGCAAUUGAGUUGAGGGGAAUGUUGUCUGGCUCGAGGACGAGGACCCGCCUUUUCACCGUCGUCGGACCAGGCUUCAUUCCCCCUAAUUUUAUCUGCUUCCCUUACACCUCUUUUUCCUCCUUCUCAGGAUUCUAGAGAAUCAGUGCACUCGAUUUAAUGAGGCUUUGUUUAUUGCAACUUUAUUAUCUUUACUGACGUUCUCUGGGUUUUAAUUGCCUCAUGAGUCAUUACUUAUCUAUCCUAUACUUAUUCAAUUAAUAAUCAACUAUCUUUUACCUCUCAACUCCGUAGUUAUCACGGAGUACUGUACAUUUACUUGUCUAGCUGAUUGCCGAACAGCUAACAAACUCUUAUGUUAAGCACAUAAUAAUCGUCCUUUGUUAAUUGCCUAACUAUACUAGUACCAUUAAACGAAACUAUUAACCAACUUUGUUGUGCUUAUUAAGACUAAUGUUAUUAAUUAAACACAUUAUAAUCGUCCUCUAUUAGUUGCCUAUCUGUAUUAGUACUAUUAAACCAAUGAAACCCUCACCCAUAUAAUUGCGAGAUAAAAAGGAUGAGAAAACAAGUCAAUGAAAAGAACCCCUAGUAAAGAGAAAGAUGGGUAGGUGAAGCAGCUUUCUAUUGAAGAAUGUAGUACUACAGAAACAUGGGUAAAAACUGUUACAAAGUGGGUUAAAAAUGGUGUGGGUACAGAUUACCAUGCUCUCUAUCUUUUUGCUAAAAGCCUACAACUUAACUCUUUACAACAUUACUUUCUCUCUUAUUUUACCCUUUUUUUUAUAUAAAUUUAUUUAGUGAAGGGGUUAAAUAAGCUACUCAACGUGUGACAUGCUGUGAUGAGAAAACACAGACAGAAAAAGAAAAAAAAAAAAGGUAAACAGUUGAUAUGAAAAGAUAAGAGCGGAAGUUUUUAUGCACUACACUACUCAGAAUAUAUAGGUUGGUAUUAUGGUAUAGUAUUGUCUCUUGUUUUGUGUUACAGAAUGCAGGGCAGUACGUACAAUUACACUGAGGCAGGCAGCUGAUUGAUGAGAAACAAACAGAAUUGUACAGCUUAUAUGUAAUUAUGUCCUAGGAUUUCAUCCUUAAAUUGCUAAUUUCAUAUGAUUUGUUUUGUUAUUGGUUAAAUUGUGUCAAGGUAUGAUGAUCUGAGGAGCGAAACAUUAGUUUAAUUAGUGAUCAAUCACUAGAUUGACUGUGUAUAUGUAAAUUUGAAAAGUUACAUUAUGUAAUAUGUUGGUGCAAUGCCACAAAUCUUUGUUUGGGAUGGUACUGUUGUUUGGAUUACGAAACAAGAUUUGAAUUAUUAAUUAUGAUGUUGAACA